rnacentral:rRNA from 1 species
GUCUACGGCCAUGCCACCCUGAACGUGCCAGAUCUUGACUGAUCUCGGAAGCUAAGCAGGGUCAGGCCUGGUUAGUACUUGGAUGGGAGACCACCUAGGAAGAACAGGUGCUGUAGGCA